GACAGAGGUGCCAAGCGUUAUCCGGAAUCACUGGGCUUAAAGGGUGCGUAGGCGGGCUGCCAAGUUUGGGGUGAAAUCCUCCGGCUCAACCGGGGAAGUGCCUUGAAUACUGGCGGUCUGGAGGGAGGUAGGGGCGUGCGGAACUAACGGUGGAGCGGUGAAAUGCGUUGAUAUCGUUAGGAACUCCGGUGGCGAAGGCGGCACGCUAGACCUUUUCUGACGCUGAGGCACGAAAGCCAGGGGAGCGAACGGG
rnacentral:rRNA from 1 species